UAUGCACAGUUCAGGGAAGGUGGACCACCAGUAUCUUGCUGUGACUUUUUUGAACCUUGUAGCUGUAAGCAUUUCCACUGUGACAAAGAGAAGAGGCCCAUUGACCAUUAGAGACCAGGGUGGACUUCCUUUAAAAUCCAAAACAGAGAAACAAAUAUGUAAACCAUCAGAGAGGCAACUAUAGAGCACAAAUAUUGUCAAGCAAUGGGGAAGACCACAUUGAGAACCGUAAUUGUCUGUGUAUCCACAGUGUAUAGUGCUUUAGGUUGUGUAGUGACAGGCCCAGACCAGAAGAAGGUUCCUGUGGGCUCUAAUGUUCGACUGUCCUGCGACCUCACUCAGUGUUUGAAAAGUCUGGGACAUCACCAAAUCAGUGCGGAGUGGGAGUUCAUUGACAAGGUAAAUCCCUCAAAAUAUAUAAUGUCACAACAAAUGUAGCGUUUAGGAUUGCUGGUGUAAUAUCAUGUUUUCUAAAAAGUGACAUGCAGUUGAAGUCUGAAGUUUACAUACACUUAGGUUGGAGUCAUUAAAACUCGUUUUUCAACCACUCCACAAAUGUCUUGUUAACAAACUAUAGUUU